ensembl:snRNA U6 U6 spliceosomal RNA
GUGCUGCUUCAGCAGCUCAUACACUAAAACUGGGAUGAUACAGAGAAGAUUAAUUAGUGUGGCCUUGCGCAAGGAUGGCAGGUAAACUCAUGAAGUGUUUCAUUUGUUU